UGGGGAAUAUUGCACAAUGGGCGCAAGCCUGAUGCAGCCAUGCCGCGUGUAUGAAGAAGGCCUUCGGGUUGUAAAGUACUUUCAGCGGGGAGGAAGGUGUUGAGGCUAAUAACCUCAGCAAUUGACGUUACCCGCAGAAGAAGCACCGGCUAACUCCGUGCCAGCAGCCGCGGUAAUACGGAGGGUGCAAGCGUUAAACGGAAUUACUGGGCGUAAAGCGCACGCAGGCGGUCUGUCAAGUCGGAUGUGAAAUCCCCGGGCUCAACCUGGGAACUGCAUUCGAAACUGGCAGGCUAGAGUCUUGUAGAGGGGGGUAGAAUUCCAGGUGUAGCGGUGAAAUGCGUAGAGAUCUGGAGGAAUACCGGUGGCGAAGGCGGCCCCCUGGACAAAGACUGACGCUCAGGUGCGAAAGCGUGGGGAGCAAACA
rnacentral:rRNA from 1 species